GAGUGCGAUCAUACCAGCACUAAUGCACCGGAUCCCAUCAGAACUCCGAAGUUAAACGUGCUUGGGAGAGAGCAGUACUAAGAUGGGUGACCUCUUGGGAAGUCUUCUUUUUUUUGUUUUUU